AGGUGAGGAGUGUGUGAGACAGGUGAGGAGUGUGUGAGACAGGUGAGGUGUGUGUGAGACAGGUGAGGUGUGUGAGAGACAGGUGAGGUGUGUGUGAGACAGGUACAGGGUGAGACAGGUGAGGUGUGUGUGAGACAGGUGAGGUGUGUGUGAGACAGGUACAGGGUGAGACAGGUGAGGUGUGUGUGAGACAGGUGAGGUGUGUGUGAGACAGGUACAGGGUGAGACAGGUGAGGUGUGUGUGAGACAGGUGAGGUGUGUGUGAGACAGGUACAGGGUGAGACAGGUGAGGUGUGUGUGAGACAGGUGAGGAGUGUGUGAGACAGGUACAGGGUGAGACAGGUGAGGAGUGUGUGAGACAGGUGAGGUGUGUGAGACAGGUACAGGGUGAUACAGGUGAGGAGUGUGUGAGACAGGUACAGGGUGAGACAGGUGAGGAGUGUGUGAGACAGGUGAGAAGUGUGUGAGACAGGUACAGGGUGAGACAGGUACAGGGUGAGACAGGUGAGGUGUGUGUGAGACAGGUGAGGAGUGUGUGAGACAGGUACAGGGUGAGACAGGUGAGGAGUGUGUGAGACAGGUGAGGAGUGUGUGAGACAGGUGAGGAGUGUGUGAGACGGGUGAGGUGUGUGUGAGACAGGUGAGGUGUGUGUGAGACAGGUGAGGAGUGUGUGAGACAGGUGAGGAGUGUGUGAGACAGGUGAGGAAUGUGUGAGACAGGUGAGGUGUGUGUGAGACAGGUACAGGGUG
ensembl:lncRNA